rnacentral:miRNA from 1 species
UGCACCCUGAGAGCUGGAGCAG